UACGGAGGGGGCUAGCGUUAUUCGGAAUUACUGGGCGUAUAGCGCACGUAGGCGGAUCUGCAAGUCAGAGGUGAAAUCCCAGGGCUCAACCUUGGAACUGCCUUUGAAACUGCGGGUCUUGAGUUCGAGAGAGGUGAGUGGAAUUCCGAGUGUAGAGGUGAAAUUCGUAGAUAUUCGGAGGAACACCAGUGGCGAAGGCGGCUCACUGGCUCGAUACUGACGCUCAUGUACGAAAGCGUGGGUAGCAAACAGG
rnacentral:rRNA from 1 species